rnacentral:rRNA from 1 species
CUGGGGCGUGCUUACACUGCAGCUAAACGAACUUCGGGUUAGUGGCGGACGGGUGAGUAACGCGUGAGAAUCUGCCCUCAGGAGGGGGACAACAGCUGGAAACGGCUGCUAAUACCCCAUAUGCCGCGAGGUGAAAUGAAUUUCGCCUGAGGAUGAGCUCGCGGCCUAUCAGCUUGUUGGAGAGGUAACGGCUCACCAAGGCAUCGACGGGUAGCUGGUCUGAGAGGAUGAUCAGCCACACUGGAACUGAGACACGGUCCAGACUCCUACGGGAGGCAGCAGUGGGGAAUCUUGCACAAUGGGCGCAAGCCUGAUGCAGCAACGCCGCGUGCGGGAAGACGGCCCUAGGGUUGUAAACCGCUUUCAGGAGGGAAGAAAAUGACGGUACCUCCAGAAGAAGGUGCGGUCAACUACGUGCCAGCAGCCGCGGUGACACGUAGGCACCAAGCGUUAUCCGGAUUCAUUGGGCGUAAAGAGCUCGUAGGCGGUUCGGUAAGUCGGGUGUGAAAAUCCAAAGCUCAAACUUGGGACGCCACCCGAUACUGCUGUGACUUGAGUGCCGUAGGGGAGCCCGGAAUUCCUGGUGUUACGGUGAAAUGCGCAGAUAUCAGGAGGAACACCAGUGGCGAAGGCGCUGCUCUGGGCUGGUACUGACGCUGAAGAGCGAAAACAUGGGUGGCGACAGGAUAUAUACCUGGUAGUCAUGCGUAACGUGGGCACAGUGGGGUUCACCACGAAUCCGCGC